GGUUUGAAUCAUCUUGUGGUUUUUGUUGUUGGAAUUUUUUAUUCUUUUGUUUUUGAGGGGGAUGAUAGUUUUGGGUUAUUUUUAGAAAUUGUUUCUGGAGGAUAAUUGUUUCUGAUUGUUACAUUUGUAAGAAAGAGGAAAGGAGGAGAUCUAUCGGGUCUGCAAAGAGGGAUAGAAGAGAGGAAAGGUGAAGAUCUAUUGGGUCUGGAAUAAAAAAAAAGCAAAAGAAGAGAGAGGAAAGAAAAAACCGGUUGCAAGAGGAAGGUUGAAAAAGGGAGACAAAGAGUAAAGAGUAAAGGAAAGGAGAUAGGUGUUAUCAUUUAUCUACCCAAAAAAGGUCUGCUGUAGGAAGACUGAGUCAACGAUUACGAAUUCUACAGAUAUUGAAUCGACAUCACUGUUGACUGCAUGUAAAAUUUUUCAGUGGUUCAUUUUUCUGUUUAUGGGGCUCUGAUGGUUGAUGCAUGCUACAUAUUCCUUUACUUCUCGAUGUUUCGACUUUCGAUUUGGUUUGAUUUGUUUUUCUGUUUACAAUGUUUAUUUUAUUCAUUGGCUUAUAUGUUUGUUCGUUGCUACAUUUCCAAUAUGUAAUAUAGAUAGAGUUUCUAAAUUUUUUCUUCUUCUUUUUUUCGAAAGGAAAAAAAAAAAGGCAAAAAAGAGGACAAGAUUUAAGCUUUUGGUAAUGAAUACCCAUGUUUUGUGAAAAUUUUCAUUCAGGGGAACCGGUCCAUGUUUACUAAGUUGAAUUUUUAUUUUGUACUUCACCUCAGUUUGUUUUUUGUUUGGGAAUUGUUAAUAUGGUUUGUAUUCAUGGUAUAGAUUUUAUAAAUGUUAAUAUGGUUUGUAUUGAUGCUAAUCAUGUUUUGCAUUAUUCUUAUAUCUUAGUUUUUUAUUCCAUAUUUACUUCUACUUUAUAAAUGUUAAUAUGGUUUGUACACGCAACAAAAGAACUCCCCAGGCUAAGGAGGUUGUUGACAAGGAACUACUGAAGGUAUAUUUUCAGAUACAUUCUUCCAACUUUUGGUUUCUUUAUAAUUCUGGAAUAUCGUCAUCAAUAUAUCUGCUAUAAGAAAGAAUUUACUCAAUCAAAAGGUUGUUCAACUUUUUGUAAUUGUGGAUUUUGUACUUCAAUUAGUAGAACCGAUAGUACAUACUUUCUAUUACUCAUCUUUUCUGUAAAUAUGAAUUAGUAAUAGCUUUCACUUUUCAUUUACAGUCACACAAACGUAGCCUAUCUAUCACAAUAGUGCUAGAGCCAGUAAGAUAUAAGACUCAACCCCAAUAUCUACAAUUCACAAUUAUGGUUGUCCUAGGCCGAUGCAUUUUUUAUCACCCUAUGAAAAAUUGAAUUUUCAACCAACUCUUUAGCUGAUGGUCUCCAAACUGGAUUUGGGUCCAACAUGGCCAUAUAUAUUGAAAUAAUAUGAUGCAGUCAGCUUCGUAACUGACGAAACAAUGACAGACAAAAAUUUCAAUGAACCUAUUUCAUUUUGCAGGUUUUAAGAAAUUAAAGUUGAAUCAGCUUUGAAACUGAUUUUGGGCAAUUAUGUUGCUGCAUUUGCUUAUUUCCCACAUUUUCGUAGUAAGUAUUAACAUGUGCUCUACAUCAUUUUUGGUAAGAAGAAGAAAAAAAAGGAGAACAAUGUACUACAUCUCAUAUGCUCACUUUAUAAUUCUGUAGUAGCAUUAAAUCAAUUGAAAGUAGUUUUGGCAUUUAAUAUCAACUUGCAGAAAUUGAAGAAGACAAUGGUCUAGCUCUUGCUAUAAUUGCAUAUUAGAUUGACAAACAUUUGUCAAAUAUACAUUGCGGAAUUUAAUGAUCAAUCAUUUGAUCUUGCAGGUACUAUCGUAGAACUUCAAAAUGGCAAUGAUGCACCUCAAAAGAGAUCCAAGAUUUUCGUCAAUUUUUGGAGGAAACUUUAGCAUUGUUUCACAAGAACUGGCUCCUCAAAUUUUGAUCGAAAACUGUUUUAUUCACUUAUCUAAAAUUCUACUCUUCAGUGACUUUUUUGUUUCUAAAUUUGUGUAUUGCUAUAUUAACAUGUCAAUGGAAAUCAAACUAAUGGUGUCCACAGAUACCAAGGUCUU